UGGUACCCAUAGACUUCUAUAGUCUUUGCCAUUCCGAAGUGAAAUCCUGCAGGAAAAUGUGCUACAUUUUGGUUAUUUCUGUUAUAUCACAAGGUGGGCUGGAUAGCAAGUUUUGGAAGCACUGAACACCCACACAGAGCUGGCUACUCUCAGGAGAGGAGGCAUCUUCACUAAGGAGAUAAAUUUGGAAAGAACACGAACUCACAAACACCUACAUACACGAAUUGCACACAGGCAUAGGGCAGCAUGGAAAACCACAGGCAGCAAAAUCAUACUUGCAAAGACUUGAUUUUGGAAUUAUUAGUAAGGCAAGUAAAAAAAUAAUUUUAUAAUACGUUUAACGAAAAGGUCAUUUAAUGUAUCAUCUUUGUAUUUCCCAAAUACUUGCAUAUAGGGAUUACUCAAGCCAUAUUAGUUGGCCAAAUGAAAAAUCCAGAUAACUGCUUCUUUAAUAGAGAGCAUCAAAGUAGCUAAUUACCUUUUCCCAGCAGCAAUCAGUUGGCAUCAAGGAGCAUAUUAUCCUGAAAGUUAGUAAUCUUAUAGCCUUUUCGAGCCUGGUAGAGCAGCUCUUCACACUAAAAGGAUUAUUCCUUCACAGAGUUAAAUAUUGAAGGGAUGUUCUGGAGGAGCUGGUCUCUUUGUUAUUCUGGGCCAUGCAUCUAUUAAUCUGAAAGACUUUCUUUAGAACUUUGGCAUAAGCUACUUAGUCACUUGGUAGCAGAAGAGCAAGAAUGGAUGGCUGCCCAGGCAUACAAGAAAUCCAAAAGUUCAUGAUUGUUAGAAAUAAUACAUCUUUUUCCCUAAAAU
rnacentral:lncRNA from 1 species